AUACGGAGGAUCCGAGCGUUAUCCGGAUUUAUUGGGUUUAAAGGGUGCGCAGGCGGCCAUUUAAGUCAGCGGUUAAAUCGUGGGGCUCAACCCCAUUCUGCCGUUGAUACUGGGUGGCUUGAUUGCGGUCGAGGUUGGCGGAAUUCGUUGUGUAGCGGUGAAAUGCAUAGAUAUGACGAAGAACACCGAUUGCGUAGGCAGCUGACCAGAUCGCAAAUGACGCUCAUGCACGAAAGUGCGGGGAUCGAACAGGAUUAGAUACCCUGGUAGUCCGCACAGCAAACGAUGAAUACUUGUUUUCGGCGAUAUAAUGUCGGAGGCAAAGCGAAAGCGAUAAGUAUUCCACCUGGGGAGUACGCCGGCAACGGUGAAACUCAAAGGAAUUGACGGGG
rnacentral:rRNA from 1 species